rnacentral:sRNA from 1 species
AGAAACGUUUUUAUUAAACCAGUGAUAAUGGGAUCGAAAGGGACUGGUUUGUACUAUGUGUUUGUGAUUAUGAAUUGUUGAAUUUCUUGUGGCUGUCCCCGUAGUUGAUUGUUGUAAAUUGCGCUUUUGGGUGUAUUAGCUGAAACAAUAACUUAUGUUUAACUAGAGAUUUAAACAUGAACAUCACCUAACUUCACUACAAUAUAUAUACUGUGUUGUAGGUAAUUCAAUUGAAUGUAAUCUUAAACUGCACUUUUGCACUUCCCGUAGUCAGUCCCGCAGUCGGUCCCGUACUCGGGCCCGUAGUCUGUCCCGCUAUCUGUCAAUUAGACUCUAAAUCAUUACAAAGUUUAUGUUUUUGGGUUCAUAUUAACCGAGUUGUAAGGGCAAAAAACGCCCAACCAACUUGCGACCAGACAUUGGUCAUUGUUUUGAUAGCCCAGACGGCAAUCGGCAGGACAGCGAGUGCAUGAUAUGGUCGGUCACGCAGGACUAAAGCUUUAAAGCCAUUUCUCACAACGCCUAGACAGUCGGAUCGCAAAUCGAUUUCACUUUCUCGGUUAUGUUUUGGCUAUAAAUUACAAAACGAAAUGACAUGGCGUCCCUCGUCAAAAUCGCCGGCCAAACCUACGUAUAUAAAUCAUACGCAAUUUACGCGGGGCCAUUUUUUGCACUUUGUGUGGGAGUCAUUAUAGCCGUCACGCCCCAAUCCCAAAGCCUUGUAAUAAUAAUUCAGAUACGGCGGCACAUUAGUUCCGCCAUUCUGAGCAGCCAGUGUACAAUAAACGAUGGACCAACAGGUUGUGACAAGUGGAUUUGGUCGAGACCGGAGGCUAGUACACUCUGUAGACACUUCAUAAAUGUCGGCGAAACGUCGCACCUGGAAAAAAAUGUACACUAUUUAUUUCAGCAGUGUGCACGACAUAAUGAUUGAUAGUCCAGUGGAGGAAGGAGAAUGGCGGCCUACUCUGAAUCGGAAGACAUGAGCCCAUAAAACGUUUUUGGCAAAAUGUUCAUCAAGUAGCCAUACAAUAAAUAAUAGAACAGUCAGAUACAUUUGACGUGGAACCAUAAAAAUGCAGCUACCCCAAAAGAGCUCCCUCAAAGAAGACAACACCAGCUCAUUCAAAUUGUUGCCAUGUGCACAUAAGGAGCAGACAAAGGAUAUAAAGUAAAUGAAGCGCCUCGCAAAAUGCAGACUCCAGAUGAGUAGUGGCACCUCCCAGACGAUGGGGCGAGUAUUUCAUUCUAUUUCCAUUUUCACAUACUCGUUUCUCAGUUGCCAUUCAAAGGCGAAGGCACAUCCACAGUUGAAAUCGAAAUCAAUUGUUAUACACAAUGAAAACUGUUUUCCUACACAAUAAAUGCUUACCGCACACUUUGGGAUAUUGUGCACUCGAAAAACAGUCUAAA